ACUAGCAGUAAGAGUUUGAUCAUGGCUCAGGACGAACGCUGGCGGCACGCCUAACACAUGCAAGUCGAACGGCCCCUUCGGGGGCAGUGGCGGACGGGUGAGUAACGCGUGGGAACCUGCCCCUUGGUUCGGGACAACCCGGGGAAACCCGGGCUAAUACCGGAUGCGCUCCUGGCUUUGGCUGGGAGGAAAGAUUGAUCGCCGAGGGAUGGGCCCGCGUCGGAUUAGGUUGUUGGUGAGGUAACGGCUCACCAAGCCUACGAUCCGUAGCUGGUCUGAGAGGAUGAUCAGCCACACUGGGACUGAGACACGGCCCAGACUCCUACGGGAGGCAGCAGUGGGGAAUCUUGGACAAUGGACGCAAGUCUGAUCCAGCGAUGCCGCGUGAGCGAUGAAGGCCUUAGGGUUGUAAAGCCCUUUCGCCCGCGACGAUGAUGACGGUAGCGGGAGAAGAAGCCCCGGCUAACUCCGUGCCAGCCGCCGCGGUAAUUC
rnacentral:rRNA from 1 species